AAAUCCAUUCAUGUCCUUUUGACAUAUCUUGCUGACAAACAGAAAGACAUGAAAAUGAAAACAAAGCCUCCAUGGAAUCCGAGCAGUUAGCUCAUUGUGUGGACGGCAGUGUGCAGUAUGAAUUUCAAACGUGUGUGCUUUGUGUGUGUGUGUGUGUGGGUGUGUGUGUCUUUGUGAAU